rnacentral:rRNA from 1 species
CUAUGCGCCUUGCCAGCCCGCUCAGGUGUGCCAGCGCGCGGUAAUACGAGGAUCCGAGCGUUAUCCGGAUUUAUUGGUUUAAAGGGAGCGUAGAUGGAUGUUUAAGUCAGUUGUGAAAGUUUGCGGCUCAACCGUAAAAUUGCAGUUGAUACUGGAUAUCUUGAGUGCAGUUGAGGCAGGCGGAAUUCGUGGUGUAGCGGUGAAAUGCUUAGAUAUCACGAAGAACUCCGAUUGCGAAGGCAGCCUGCUAAGCUGCAACUGACAUUGAGGCUCGAAAGUGUGGGUAUCAAACAGG